rnacentral:rRNA from 1 species
GACGAACGCUGGCGGCGUGCCUAAUACAUGCCAGUUGAGCGCUGAAGGUUGGUACUUGUACCAACUGGAUGAGCAGCGAACGGGUGAGUAACGCGUGGGGAAUCUGCCUUUGAGCGGGGGACAACAUUUGGAAACGAAUGCUAAUACCGCAUAAAAACUUUAAACACAAGUUUUAAGUUUGAAAGAUGCAAUUGCAUCACUCAAAGAUGAUCCCGCGUUGUAUUAGCUAGUUGGUGAGGUAAAGGCUCACCAAGGCGAUGAUACAUAGCCGACCUGAGAGGGUGAUCGGCCACAUUGGGACUGAGACACGGCCCAAACUCCUACGGGAGGCAGCAGUAGGGAAUCUUCGGCAAUGGACGAAAGUCUGACCGAGCAACGCCGCGUGAGUGAAGAAGGGUUUCGGAUCGUAAAACUCUGUUGGUAGAGAAGAACGUUGGUGAGAGUGUAAAGCUCAUCAAGUGACGGUAACUACCCAGAAAGGGACGGCUAACUACGUG